AUAAAGAGAAUUAUAUGUCCCUUGAGAGAAAGAAAAAUAAUUUAGAGAGACUCUUUUGAGAGGGGGGUUUUUUUUUUUGAGAUUGUUAACUCCGUUGUAAAUUCUAUUCAAGUAGAAAUAGAAUUGUUUUUCCUCUUUUAUUCUCUUCUCGUGAUCGGAGAAUCACAACAAGUGGUAUCAGAGCCAGAUUCAUCAACUAGCCCUUGUAGUUUUUGAUAAAGCUUUUGCAAGCCAAGAUGUCAAUGGAGGAAUCUUCAUCAGGAGCUAUGAUCAAGCUCACUACCACCAAUUACACACUGUGGAGGCCUCGAAUGGAAGACCUCCUUAGUUGUAAGGAUUUGUAUAACCCCUUGGAAGUCAAAGGUGUAAACCCCGAUCCUACCAAGGAGACGGAGUGGAAGAAACUAAAUAGAAAAACUAUCGGUCAAAUUCAACAAUGGAUUGACUGUAGUGUAUUUCACCAUGUAGCACAGGAGAGAGAUGCAUAUGCCCUCUGAAAGAUUCUGGAGGACAUGUACCAAGCCAAGACCGUUUGAAACAAAGCCCUGUUGAUGAGGCGUUUGGUGAAUCUAAAGUUAAAGAGUGGAACUUUAGUUGCUGAGCACACCAGUGAAUUUCAGAGCUUGGUAAACCAAUUGGCAUCUGUGGAGAUGUCGCUUGGGGAUGAAAUACAAGCCUUACUACUUUUAAGUUCUCUUCCUGAUAGUUGGGAGAUAUUAGUAGUAUCUCUUAGCAGCUCAGUCCUUGAUGGCAAACUUACUAUGUCUAUGGUUAAGGACGCCCUAUUUAAUGAAGAUGCCAGGAGAAAAGACGUAGACACGAACCAAUCACAUGCCCUUGUCACAGUGAACCGCAGAAGACAGCAAGGAGGCGUUCGAGGCAAGGGGAGAGCCAGAAGAAAAAGUAGGGGUAGAUCCAUAGAUGGAAGGAAGCCUACUUACAAGUGAUACUAUUGUGGUAUAGAGGCCACUUGAAGAAGAACUGCAGAAAAUUGCUAUGAGAGCAAGGCCACAACAGUUCGCAGCCGAAAAAUAAGGAAGGAGAGUAUUUCUGGGGAGGUGGCUAUCUGCUCUAAAAAUUUUAAAAAUUUAAUGUACGAAUAAAAUUUAUAUAUAAUAAGAAAAAUUUAUAAUAUAAGUUACCUAUUGAAGUUGUACUCGAUGAUGUUUUAC
rnacentral:lncRNA from 1 species